ACUUAAAUUGAAGAGUUUGAUCAUGGCUCAGAUUGAACGCUGGCGGCAGGCCUAACACAUGCAAGUCGAACGGUAGCACAGAGAGCUUGCUCUCGGGUGACGAGUGGCGGACGGGUGAGUAAUGUCUGGGAAACUGCCCGAUGGAGGGGGAUAACUACUGGAAACGGUAGCUAAUACCGCAUAACGUCGCAAGACCAAAGUGGGGACCUUCGGGCCUCACACCAUCGGAUGUGCCCAGAUGGGAUUAGCUAGUAGGUGGGGUAACGGCUCACCUAGGCGACGAUCCCUAGCUGGUCUGAGAGGAUGACCAGCCACACUGGAACUGAGACACGGUCCAGACUCCUACGGGAGGCAGCAGUGGGAAUAUUGCACAAUGGGCGCAAGCCUGAUGCAGCCAUGCCGCGUGUAUGAAGAAGGCCUUCGGGUUGUAAAGUACUUUCAGCGAGGAGGAAGGCGUUGUGGUUAAUAACCGCAGCGAUUGACGUUACUCGCAGAAGAAGCACCGGCUAACUCCGUGCCAGCAGCCGCGGUAAUACGGAGGGUGCAAGCGUUAAUCGGAAUUACUGGGCGUAAAGCGCACGCAGGCGGUUUGUUAAGUCAGAUGUGAAAUCCCCGGGCUCAACCUGGGAACUGCAUUUGAAACUGGCAAGCUUGAGUCUCGUAGAGGGGGUAGAAUUCCAGGUGUAGCGGUGAAAUGCGUAGAGAUCUGGAGGAAUACCGGUGGCGAAGGCGGCCCCUGGACGAAGACUGACGCUCAGGUGCGAAAGCGUGGGAGCAAACAGGAUUAGAUACCCUGGUAGUCCACGCCGUAAACGAUGUCUAUUUGGAGGUUGUGCCCUUGAGGCGUGGCUUCCGGAGCUAACGCGUUAAAUAGACCGCCUGGGGAGUACGGCCGCAAGGUUAAAACUCAAAUGAAUUGACGGGGCCCGCACAAGCGGUGGAGCAUGUGGUUUAAUUCGAUGCAACGCGAAGAACCUUACCUACUCUUGACAUCCAGAGAACUUAGCAGAGAUGCUUUGGUGCCUUCGGGAACUCUGAGACAGGUGCUGCAUGGCUGUCGUCAGCUCGUGUUGUGAAAUGUUGGGUUAAGUCCCGCAACGAGCGCAACCCUUAUCCUUUGUUGCCAGCGGUUCGGCCGGGAACUCAAAGGAGACUGCCAGUGAUAAACUGGAGGAAGGUGGGGAUGACGUCAAGUCAUCAUGGCCCUUACGAGUAGGGCUACACACGUGCUACAAUGGCAUAUACAAAGAGAAGCGACCUCGCGAGAGCAAGCGGACCUCAUAAAGUAUGUCGUAGUCCGGAUUGGAGUCUGCAACUCGACUCCAUGAAGUCGGAAUCGCUAGUAAUCGUAGAUCAGAAUGCUACGGUGAAUACGUUCCCGGGCCUUGUACACACCGCCCGUCACACCAUGGGAGUGGGUUGCAAAAGAAGUAGGUAGCUUAACCUUCGGGAGGGCGCUUACCACUUUGUGAUUCAUGACUGGGGUGAAGUCGUAACAAGGUAACCGUAGGGGAACCUGCGGUUGGAUCACCUCCUUACCUUAAAGAA
rnacentral:rRNA from 1 species